rnacentral:rRNA from 1 species
GAUGAACGCUAGCGGCAGGCCUAAUACAUGCAAGUCGAACGGUGUCUUCGGACAUAGUGGCGCACGGGUGCGUAACACGUAUGCAACCUACCUUACAUUGGGGGAUAGCCUUUCGAAAGGGAGAUUAAUACCGCAUAAGACAGUAGCUGGGCAUCCAGCAGCUGUUAAAGAUUUAUCGAUGUAAGCUGGGCAUGCGUCCAAUUAGCUAGUUGGUGAGGUAACGGCUCACCAAGGCAAUGAUUGGUAGGGGAACUGAGAGGUCAAUCCCCCACACUGGCACUGAGAUACGGGCCAGACUCCUACGGGAGGCAGCAGUAGGGAAUAUUGGGCAAUGGACGCAAGUCUGACCCAGCCAUGCCGCGUGCAGGAUGAAGGCGUUAUGCGUUGUAAACUUCUUUUCUCUGGGGCGAAAACCUCUCAUUCUUGGGAGCUUGACAGUACCAGAGGAAUAAGCACCGGCUAACUCCGUGCCAGCAGCCGCAGUAAGAC